rnacentral:rRNA from 1 species
AUUGAACGCUGGCGGCAGGCCUAACACAUGCAAGUCGAACGAGUGGCGGACGGGUGAGUAAUGUCUGGGAAACUGCCUGAUGGAGGGGGAUAACUACUGGAAACGGUAGCUAAUACCGCAUACCAUCGGAUGUGCCCAGAUGGGAUUAGCUAGUAGGUGGGGUAAAGGCUCACCUAGGCGAUGAUCCCUAGCUGGUCUGAGAGGAUGAUCAGCCAAACGGGGACUGAGACAGGGCCCAGACCCUGACGGGAGCAAGCAGUGGGGAACAUUGCACAAGGGGCGAAAGCCUGAUGCAGCCAUGCCGGGUGUAUGAAGAAGGCCCUAGGGUUGUAAAGUACUUUCAGUCGGGAGGCGUUACCGACAGAAGAAGCACCGGCUAACUCCGUGCCAGCAGCCGCGGUAAUAC